UAGCAAAAUUUGACUUUUUGACAUCAAAGAAAAUGAGAAAGAAAAAGGAAUGAAGAAAGCUAAUAUUCAGCUUCUCCAAACCCACACACAACCGACCACCACCUCCCCUACUUCCCUCUUUGUUCCCUACUCUAAGCUCUCCUAUGGUGAACCACCAUUCAUCCUCUACCACCUUCAUUUCUUGUCUCCAAAAUCUGUUUAUAAAUUCAUAGAAGAACUAAGCUUGAAAUCAGAAAUUAAACCCACAAAAACUCACAAAAAUUCUCUUCUUCUCACUUCUCUCCUCACGGCACCACCUGGCCACCACCAUUGAGCGCACCACCACUCUGCGCGCCACCACCCCCUGACUGACGGAGUCGCGUCAGUCCUCACCGGCGACCCACGUCGCAGCUGCAGCCGUCGACGCUGCUCACCCCUCUCCUCUUUCCUUCGCUUCCCCUCUCUCUCUUCUGCUUCGUUCACUCGCUACUGGUGCCCCACCAACGAACACCACUUUCUGCCGCCGUAGUGCGCUGCCGAGCCUCGCCGCCGUUCCCCCCUGCUCGCCGGAGCACAGCUCCCCUUCCCUGCCGCCUCUGUUUCGUCCCUGCUCCAAGUGAGCAGAGUGUUACAAUGGUUUCAGGUUGAAGUUAUGGAGCACUCCUUCCAAGGUAGAAGCAGUUACAUGCUAAGAGUUCAACUAUGUUAUUUUAUGUUUCUUUCGAGGCGAGGACGUUCCACUUUGUAUUAGAUAAUAAUAAAUGAGUUAGUUUAUUUCUAGUGCUGGAUGAGCAAUAUUGCUCCUGUUUCACUUUAGCUGUACUCCGCAGAAGCGUUGAGUUAAGGAUUGAGAAUGUUUUAUUUGUAACAGGUUCCUCAAGCAUUUUUCCCAUUAUGGGUUGACCAAUUUACAAAGGAUACUCUGCCGAAAUUUCUAGCGAA